GCCGGGUGUGGUGGCGGGCACCUGUAGUCCCAGCUACUCGGGAGGCUGAGGCAGGAGAAUCUCUUGAACCCGGGAGUCGGAGGUUGCAGUGAGCUGAGAUGGAGCCACUGCACUACAGCUUGGGCAACACAGAGAGACUCUGUCUCAA
rnacentral:SRP_RNA from 1 species